UCCGUAGGUGGAUAAUUAAGUCAGAGGUGAAAUCCUGCAGCUCAAAUGUAGAAUUGCCUUUGAUACUGGUUAUCUUGAGUCAUUAUGAAGUGGUUAGAAUGUGUAGUGUAGCGGUGAAAUGCAUAGAUAUUACACAGAAUACCGAUUGCGAAGGCAGAUCACUAAUAAUGUACUGACACUGAUGGACGAAAGCGUGGGGAGCGAACAGGAUUAGAUACCCUGGUAGUCC
rnacentral:rRNA from 1 species